rnacentral:lncRNA from 1 species
CAGAGCCCAGCUGGCUGGACCUGGUGCCCUCGGCACCGGCUGCGGGCCCUGAGCUGCUCCCACUUCUGUGCUCAUAGGAUAGCAGGCUCAGGAAGUACCCAAGACCCGGGGUUUGUACACAUGAAGAGGCUCACGGGCGUACUCCAUCUUGGAAUUUACAUUUCAUGAAAGUUGAUGCAUAUUUGAGAACACUGAUGUUAAUUUUGAUAUGAUGAGGCUUCCCUUUGUUUGUUUGUUUUGGUGUUUUGAGACAGGGUCUAACUGUGAAGUUCACUAUGAACGCCACACUAUGUAGCCCAGGGCAGCCUCAAACUCACAGCAAUCUGCCUGUCUCAGCCUCCCAAGUGGUGGGAUUUCGGGCAUGUGCUGCCAUGCCCAGCUAGUGUGGCCCUCCUCUCCCUCUAAGCUAUGCCCCGGAGGAGAUGACUCACACUCAGGGUCAUCUCUCCUUUCUCACGGGCAGCCAGGUGGAAGGGUUUGAAGAACCACCUCCCCCCAUUGCCGCCAGUGCAGCAGGGACUCAGUGUAGGCUGGGCACUGAAGUGACUGGGAUCCCUUGUGAAGCUGGAAGCACUCUGCCCGGGAGGUGUGUGUUCCCUGUGGACCCGUGCUGUGCCCGGGUGCCACGCACCCCGCUUUAUACACAGACAGCUGACACCCCGAGGGGCGUCACAUGGCAAGGGGUGAGUGGGUUCAAGCCCGAAGCCUGGCCCCGUGGUGCCCACUCCUGACGGCCUCCACGCCCGAUCCAUGGGGAAUGGAGCCACCCUGCCUCUGCCGCUGGAAACAGAACAGCAAGGCGCCAACGAAGGUCAGCAAGCAGCGUCCCAGGUAGGAGCUCUGUUCUGCUCAGCCUCACCCACUUGUUCCACGUGAUCCUUCAAACAUUUCCUAGACAUCGGGGUUUUGGACGCAGCUGCGAGAGUCCAGGCCAGCUGGGAGUCCUCUGAGGGAG